GAGCAAGCUGAGGGUGGCCUCUGGGUACCUGGCUGUCGCUUUUUCUCCCGCCACUGGCUGCAGGCACUGGCAACUGGAAAGUUAAAGCAUUUAAGACUGGAUCCUACCCAAUCAGCUACUGAUUGUGAGUCCUUCCUGCGACAAGAAAUGUCCCAUUCCAACUUGUGGCCUUCAUACAUUAUGCCCUCGCAGGGGGACAGAGCAGAAGCAGAAGGAGCCAGCAAGAGGCACCACUCUGAACAGAAGUGCCUGCGGGAAGGAGAGAAGAGACAAGUGGUGCUGGCUGCUGCUUCAAAGAGGGGCAGGGGCUUUCCCUUCCUGAGAUCAAAACCAAGUUAGAAGGCAUGGAAGCAGCUCCCCUCCCCACCGCCUCCUAACAGAGAGGAGACUAAAAGAGGCAACACAGAAGAGGCCAGGCUGUCCCUGAUGCCAGCAGCACAGGUCCAGCACACACUAAGUGGGGGAAGCUUUGUUAUCUUAGAUCUAAGGCUAGUUUUCUCCCUUAGUACUAGACUUGCACAACCCUGACUCUGAUAGAUGCUCCCUGGAGUCAGGGCUGCCUGCAACUGUCAUGCCAACAGCAAGACCAUCUAGUCUCUAGGAGGACAAGUUACCUUUGUCCCAUUCCACUUAUUGGGCCAUCUUCCCCAAGGUAAAAAGGGUCCUCAGCUGUUGUCCUGGAUUUGAUAGGUAAAUCGCCUUAGUUCUUCCUGCUUCCCUGACCUAGCAGAGCCUAUGUUAGGCCACAGAUUCACAGUUGUCAGUUCAUUCAGUAUUUGGAAUCUGCACACUCCUUCUGUUCUGCCUUAUCCUCCUCUCUAUUAACAUCUGUCAUCUCGACUACCUUGUACAUUGUACCUCACUAACCUUCCCCAUUGACCAAAUCAUCAGUCAAAGGGGGCCUGCUAGGAUGGCCACUGAACAGCCUCUGCAGGCAGCACAAGAUCAAAAGUGAGACUCCAGAUCUCAAUCCAUGUAAGUAAAGCAGAAAUUAUUUUUAACAGGUGUGACUUGAGAGAAAUGCUGAUUCUAAGAUCUUCAGAAGGAAAUUUUCCCCUUGAAUUACUUUUAUAGGAGUUUAAUUCAAAGUCUCCAAGUACUAAUCUUCAUUUCAAAGAACCUGAAACCGUCCAUUCCUACAGUAUUACUAAAGGCAUUGUCACACAGAUUCUGAUAGUGUCUAAAACUAAAAUUAAUUUAAAAUAGUUUAACCAUGCAUGUCAGUUUCCGGAAAGGAACAAAUCGACAUAGUGUGAUAUAUGUUAUUGUGUUGUAACUCGGAUUUCUACAUUUGCUUCUGACAUGGCAUGCAGUAAGGCUGACUUAUUUCCUAGGAAGAAAUUACGACUUGUGUUAGUUCAUAUUAGUGAACCUGUUGAAUGUAAUUCCAUGAAUUACACUGGGAACAUCAAGGACCUCUAUGAAGGAGAAACUUGGUGCUACCUUGAAUUUAGAAUGGGUCAACAUAACUGAUGCUGGGGCAAUUUCCUCAAAUGUGUAGCAACUUCCAGAAUAAUCCAUGUUAAAGGAGCACUUCCAUGAUUUUUGUUUGGUUAGUUGUUUUGUUUUGUUUUGUUUUUGUUUUUUGUUUGUUUGUUUGUUUUGUUUUGUUUUGUUUAACUUCCAGAUUUCUGUACUUGUUCAAAUCUGUGUGUUCACGAAGUACAGACUUCAAGGACAGAGACAAAGAGACUGUGCAAUGAAACAGUGUUGGGAUCUAGUGGGCCUCCCAGGGUUCAUUCAGCCAGACAGUGAUGGUGGUUCAUGAGUUGAUUUCAACUCUGCUCAGGACAAUUCUCUAAAACAGCGAUGAUGCACCUAAUAAAUAUACAUGUGGGUUUUUCCCACCAUUC